rnacentral:rRNA from 1 species
UACGGGGGGGCAAGCGUUGUUCGGAAUUACUGGCGUAAAGGGCGCGUAGGCGGCCUGCUAAGUCGGACGUGAAAUCCCUCGGCUCAACCGAGGAACUGCGUCCGAUACUGGUGGGCUUGAAUCCGGGAGAGGGAUGUGGAAUUCCAGGUGUAGCGGUGAAAUGCGUAGAUAUCUGGAGGAACACCGAUGGCGAAGGCGGCAUCCUGGACCGACACUGACGCUGAGGAGCGAAAGCCAGGGGAGCAAACGGGG